rnacentral:rRNA from 1 species
UACGGGGGGCAAGCGUUUGUUCGGAAUUACUGGGCGUAAAGGGCUCGUAGGCGGCCAACUAAGUCAGACGUGAAAUCCCUCGGCUUAACCGGGGAACUGCGUCUGAUACUGGAUGGCUUGGAGGUUGGGAGAGGGAUGCGGAAUUCCAGGUGUAGCGGUGAAAUGCGUAGAUAUCUGGAGGAACACCGGUGGGCGAAGGCGGCAUCCUGGACCAAUUCUGACGU